GCCUCUGUAGCUUAACGGUUAUAGCACCGCUCUCGUAAAGCGGAGGUUGAGGGUUCAAAUCCCUCCAGAGGCU
rnacentral:tRNA from 1 species